rnacentral:rRNA from 1 species
GAUGAACGCUGGCGGCGUGCCUAAUACAUGCAAGUCGAGCGAACGGACGAGAAGCUUGCUUCUCUGAUGUUAGCGGCGGACGGGUGAGUAACACGUGGAUAAUCUACCUAUAAGACUGGGAUAACUUCGGGAAACCGGAGCUAAUACCGGAUAAUAUUUUGCACCGCAUGGUUCAAAAGUGAAAGACGGUCUUGCUGUCACUUAUAGAUGGAUCCGCGCUGCAUUAGCUAGUUGGUAAGGUAACGGCUUACCAAGGCAACGAUGCAUAGCCGACCUGAGAGGGUGAUAGCCCACACUGGAGCUGAGACACGGUCAAGACUCCUACGGGAGGCAGCAGUAGGGAAUCUUCCGCAAUAGGCGAAAGCCUGACGGAGCAACGCCGCGUGAGUGAUGAAGGUCUUCGGAUCGUAAAACUCUGUUAUUAGGGAAGAACAUAUGUGUAAGUAACUGUGCACAUCUUGACGGUACCUAAUCAGAAAGCCACGGCUAACUACGUG